ensembl:lncRNA
UAUCAACAAUAGUCAAAGUGGUAGGCGUUUUUCCUCAUUGUCAUUUAUGUUUGAAGGCCACAAUAGCCCUGCAAUGCCAGUUGCAUAACCUGGAGGCCAUGAAAAGCGGAAAUGGGACGUCUCAGACAAUCAACUGGAGAGGUGGAUCAUUGAUAUCAAUGAGUGGGCAGAAGCAACAACAUCCCCAAAUGAUGCUGAUGUUGCCGCUGUUGCCAGCCGAAUUGAGGAGCUGGUGGCAAGUGUUAAGAGGAGGUCCCAGCGUCUUUACAAGGAUAGUGACGGAUGCAAAGGGACGUGCCCGAAUCCGCCGAAAGAUCAGGGAGGAAAAUCUUAAAUUCUGUAGUGGAAAAGUACAACACCUUGGUUCCUAAUGCAGAAAAACUGUCAUUGGACACCAUUCUAUCUGACGAGAUUGUUUGGCCAUGGCAGCUUACACACGGUGACUCUGUUGAUCUAAGGACAAAGAGGAAGGCGUUCGACAUUGUGAUGGCAGUAAGGAGACUUGAGGAGGAGAAGAGGAUUCUUAUUGCAGAGAUGAACAAGCAUUGGAAGUCUCUUUGCUCCCGUGCAGACACCCUGAAGCAGAUGUCAUCCAAGCUUUCUAAUGUGACAUCAGGUGAGACUUGGGGCCUGCUUCAAGAUGGUAUCCGAGGUCUACAAAGCUUGACGAUGAAGAACAAGCGAGCAAGCAACAGCCUGGCAAAGCAUGCAAAGAAAUAUUAUGUUCAAGUUCUGACUGAAACAGAAAUUAACUUUGAUAGUGAUUCUGAGGAAUACCAUACCAGUAGUGACUCUGAGCAAGAUUAAACAUGGCCAGAGUCCUUUUUAUGCUGUUGUGUGCUGGGGAGGCAGCAUUAAAGAAGAGGGCCGCUGGGACAGGUUGUUAAGGAAAGCUGGCUCUGUGUUUGGCAUGGAGCUGGAGUUAAUUAUUUAACAAACUGAGGAUAAUUUGCAGUAGCAGUCUUCUGUCAUGCUCAACAUUGAGGAGGUCCUUUGUCCCCAGGGCAUACCAGCAACUCAAUGUCACAGAAAAGGUUAGGGGAGAAAUUGACUUUUCAGCAUGAGUCUCACCCUGCGCCAACCAUUACAUCGCUUUGUCUAUUGUCUAGUAUCCACUAUCCAUUUGACUGUCUUACAGGCUACAUUAGCCCCCUCUACACAUUCUGAACUGUGGUUUCAACAUUUACCCCUGUUGGCUUGUAUAAUCUUUUUUUCUUUUUUUAUAUAUAUAUUUAAGUUUCUGUUUUUUUCUAUCUAUUUUUAACUUCUUUGUAUUGUUUUUGUUAAGCAAUACUAUUAUGCUCAGACUCUUUUUUUCCAUAGUCAUAUUAAACAUGCACAGCUUUGCACUGAUUAAAUCCCUGCACUGUUUACUUUUUGCACUACCACCACUGCAAAUCACUCUAUAGUUGCCCAUCAUGUAUCACAGGGUCAGUCCCUACCAGGCCUUUGUAAUCACUUGACAUGCUCUUCACUUUUUUUACAUUUGUGAUUUUUUUGUUAUGUGUCUGAGUUGUGUGUUGUUUUUGUGGUUGUAUAAGCUAAUAAAUGCCUAAAAUGUGGUGUGUCGUCUUAAGUAGCCUACUGUGUCUGUACUAGGGGGAAGAAGACAUUUCAUCAUGACAGUUUCCUCCAUCUCCUAGAGACAUCUUACAUGGAUACACAGAUAACAUUUAUUCAC